CAGAGAUGUGUUGCCCUUGCAAAACUGAGCAGUAGAUGGCUUCAGAAAAGGCAGGGGAGUUGACUUCUACCAACAUGAGGGCAGCUGGAAUUCUUCUUGUCUUUUGUCUCUUCUGCUCCAUCUUGU